ensembl:lncRNA
ACACAUAACUAAAAGUGGAGCCGGAAGAAGUAGAAAGAAGGAGACAGGAGACAGGAGACAGCGCCCGGGAGUUGCCAGGCUGCUGCUGCUGCCAUGGCAACAGUACAGGUGUUAAAGCAGGUCAAUUGAAUGCCAGUCGGCACUCUGCCGAAGGCCGACGGGCGUGAGAGUGUCAGCUAGUCACUGGUCCGUCCCUUCAGUGCCAACCGGGGGCCGUCGCAUGAGGCACCUCAGCCGGGGGCCGUUAUUUAGGAAGCGGCUCGGCAACCGCUUUGAACCAGAAGGAAAAAGUUGCUACGAGGAGCUUUGCUUUUGGGUCGAUGUUGGCAGAAUCUGUGGAAAAGAAUCUGUUAGUUUCCCCAGCAUGAGGGUCCCUGCAGAAAACCUCUCACACAGUCCCCCCCCCCCCCCCUCAGCGCCGAGUCUGGUUCUCCCAUCGCCUCCUUUCCCCCCAGCUCCUGGAGGAGGAUGAAAUGCUGCUGCAUCCUGUCUGGACCAUCUCACAGAUAAUACUGCAUCAAUUGCUUCCUGAUGCAGAUUUAGUUGAAUUUCAUUAGCUUCCAACCUGCUUCUGGUUCAUGAAAGUUGAUUGUAUUGGGACAAAGGCGGAUGGAGACAAUUAUAGGCUACCAUUUAUAUAAUUAAUACGGGGGGGGGGGGGGACUUGCAUUUCAACGCGGGGAGAUAAGUACACAAUAUGCGCAUCGGGAUGCUUUUGCGUUUUUUAAAAAGUCACUUUCUUCGGCUACAGAAUAUUAAGAAAAUAUAUACUGUAACUUUUAAGGCAGGCAACGCGUAAGUUAUCACUGUCCUUCAAAUGCUAACUGUCUUUGACAUUACUGAUGAAAAAUGUACCUAAUGUAUUUUAAAAAAAGGAGCUUUGUUCGUUGAUGGGGCUGGUAGAGUUUAAACAAGGACGAUGUGAGUACCAGCGCAACGCAGUUGGCUUUGUUAGCGCCGUUAGCUGUUUUCUUUAUAAGCCCCGAGCACGUCUUUGGACUGUGGGAGGAAGCCGCAGACACGGGGAGAACAUGCAGACUCCACACAGAAAGGCCACUGGGCGGAGUGGAACCCGGGACCUUCUUGCUGGGAGGCGACGGUGCCG